rnacentral:rRNA from 1 species
UACGUAGGGUGCGAGCGUUAAUCGGAAUUACUGGGCGUAAAGCGUGCGUAGGCGGUUUGCCGUGUCCUGUGUGAAAGCCCCGGGCUCAACCUGGGAAUUGCAUGGGAAACUGGCAGGCUUGAGUGUGGCAGAGGAGGGUGGAAUUCCGCGUGUAGCAGUGAAAUGCGUAGAGAUGCGGAGGAACACCGAUGGCGAAGGCAGCCCUCUGGGCCAACACUGACGCUCAGGCACGAAAGCGUGGGGAGCAAAAGGG